rnacentral:rRNA from 1 species
GACGAACGCUGGCGGCGUGCCUAAUACAUGCAAGUCGAACGAACUCUGGUAUUGAUUGGUGCUUGCAUCAUGAUUUACAUUUGAGUGAGUGGCGAACUGGUGAGUAACACGUGGGAAACCUGCCCAGAAGCGGGGGAUAACACCUGGAAACAGAUGCUAAUACCGCAUAACAACUUGGACCGCAUGGUCCGAGCUUGAAAGAUGGCUUCGGCUAUCACUUUUGGAUGGUCCCGCGGCGUAUUAGCUAGAUGGUGGGGUAACGGCUCACCAUGGCAAUGAUACGUAGCCGACCUGAGAGGGUAAUCGGCCACAUUGGGACUGAGACACGGCCCAAACUCCUACGGGAGGCAGCAGUAGGGAAUCUUCCACAAUGGACGAAAGUCUGAUGGAGCAACGCCGCGUGAGUGAAGAAGGGUUUCGGCUCGUAAAACUCUGUUGUUAAAGAAGAACAUAUCUGAGAGUAACUGUUCAGGUAUUGACGGUAUUUAACCAGAAAGCCACGGCUAACUACGUGCCAGCAGCCGCGGUAAUACGUAGGUGGCAAGCGUUGUCCGGAUUUAUUGGGCGUAAAGCGAGCGCAGGCGGUUUUUUAAGUCUGAUGUGAAAGCCUUCGGCUCAACCGAAGAAGUGCAUCGGAAACUGGGAAACUUGAGUGCAGAAGAGGACAGUGGAACUCCAUGUGUAGCGGUGAAAUGCGUAGAUAUAUGGAAGAACACCAGUGGCGAAGGCGGCUGUCUGGUCUGUAACUGACGCUGAGGCUCGAAAGUAUGGGUAGCAAACAGGAUUAGAUACCCUGGUAGUCCAUACCGUAAACGAUGAAUGCUAAGUGUUGGAGGGUUCCCGCCCUUCAGUGCUGCAGCUAACGCAUUAAGCAUUCCGCCUGGGGAGUACGGCCGCAAGGCUGAAACUCAAAGGAAUUGACGGGGGCCCGCACAAGCGGUGGAGCAUGUGGUUUAAUUCGAAGCUACGCGAAGAACCUUACCAGGUCUUGACAUACUAUGCAAAUCUAAGAGAUUAGACGUUCCCUUCGGGGACAUGGAUACAGGUGGUGCAUGGUUGUCGUCAGCUCGUGUCGUGAGAUGUUGGGUUAAGUCCCGCAACGAGCGCAACCCUUAUUAUCAGUUGCCAGCAUUAAGUUGGGCACUCUGGUGAGACUGCCGGUGACAAACCGGAGGAAGGUGGGGAUGACGUCAAAUCAUCAUGCCCCUUAUGACCUGGGCUACACACGUGCUACAAUGGAUGGUACAACGAGUUGCGAACUCGCGAGAGUAAGCUAAUCUCUUAAAGCCAUUCUCAGUUCGGAUUGUAGGCUGCAACUCGCCUACAUGAAGUCGGAAUCGCUAGUAAUCGCGGAUCAGCAUGCCGCGGUGAAUACGUUCCCGGGCCUUGUACACACCGCCCGUCACACCAUGAGAGUUUGUAACACCCAAAGUCGGUGGGGUAACCUUUUAGGAACCAGCCGCCUAAGGUGGGACAGAUGAUUAGGGUGAAG